UGGGGAAUAUUGCACAAUGGGCGGAAGCCUGAUGCAGCAACGCCGCGUGCGGGAUGACGGCCUUCGGGUUGUAAACCGCUUUCGCCUGUGACGAAGCGUGAGUGACGGUAAUGGGUAAAGAAGCACCGGCUAACUACGUGCCAGCAGCCGCGGUGAUACGUAGGGUGCGAGCGUUGUCCGGAUUUAUUGGGCGUAAAGGGCUCGUAGGUGGUUGAUCGCGUCGGAAGUGUAAUCUUGGGGCUUAACCCUGAGCGUGCUUUCGAUACGGGUUGACUUGAGGAAGGUAGGGGAGAAUGGAAUUCCUGGUGGAGCGGUGGAAUGCGCAGAUAUCAGGAGGAACACCAGUGGCGAAGGCGGUUCUCUGGGCCUUUCCUGACGCUGAGGAGCGAAAGCGUGGGGAGCGAACAGGCUUAGAUACCCUGGUAGUCCACGCUGUAAACGGUGGGUACUAGGUGUGGGGUCCAUUCCACGGGCUCCGUGCCGUAGCUAACGCUUUAAGUACCCCGCCUGGGGAGUACGGCCGCAAGGCUAAAACUUAAAGGAAUUGACGGGGUCAUAGCUGUUU
rnacentral:rRNA from 1 species